GAUGAAGAACGCAGCGAAAUGCGAUAAGUAAUGUGAAUUGCAGAAUUCAGUGAAUCAUCGAAUCUUUGAACGCACAUUGCGCCCGCCAGUAUUCUGGCGGGCAUGCCUGUUCGAGCGUCAUUUCAACCAUCAAGCCCCCGGCUUGUGUUGGGGACCUGCGGCUGCCGCAGGCCCUGAAAACCAGUGGCGGGCUCGCUAGUCACUCCGAGCGUAGUAAUACAUCUCGCUCAGGGCGUGCUGCGGGUUCCGGCCGUUAAAAAGCCUUAUUUACCCAAGGUUGACCCCGGAUCAGGUAGGAAGACCCGCUGAACUUAAGCAUAUCAAUAAGCGGAGGA
rnacentral:misc_RNA from 1 species